ensembl:lncRNA
CGCCUGGCCCCCUAAAAUGGGAGGAGUCUGCUGCCAUUUUAAGAGAGGAAGAGACACAGAAAGGGAAAGAGAGAGAGAGAGAGAUAAGGAAGAAGGUACAGUGAGAGAGAAAAGACAAAUAGAGAGAAAAAAAGCAAAGAAACAGGAUGGUUCCUCUUCCUGCUUGUCCGCCAUUCUUCAUUCUUAAAGAAUGAACUUCCUUCUUCUUCCUCCUUCUUUUUUUUCUUUCUCUUAGAUGCAAAAUGGUCUCUGAGCUUCAUCAUAUCCUCCCUCCUUCCCUCCCUCCGAAAUGGAAUUGCAUCCUUUGUCCGGAGACACAGGGAACGGGGUGUUGACCAAGAGGCAGCCUUAAGCCGAAUGUGACCCCCACGUCCAUGUGAGGCCUGAAAUCUGCCCCCAUUGAGCAAAAGAGCCUGUUCUCAAAGUCCUGAAUUGGAAUGGGGGUUGGGAAGGUUACAAGCCAGCGAUCAAGCACAAGACCGGCCCGUAGCUCGCUCCAACUCUGGCGUCUAAAGACUUUCUGAGGAACAAAGAGGAAAACAUGCACAUUUUCUGCUUUAUCAAAAGGAAUUGCACCUAGUUAACAGCACGGACACAUUAUGUUUAAACAAUACAGCAUAGACGCACAUCAUGUAGUUUGCUUAUUCUUUCUCUCUUUGCAUGUGUCAUUGCAAACCUUUCCAUCUUCUCAAUUAAGACAUGGUGGUACAAAAAACAACAACUAUAAUGUAGGAUUGUAAAUAUAUACCAGAUAUUAUGUUUACAUUUUGUGUAUAUGCAUAUUGUACAUUUUAUAACAAUAUCCUCACACAUUGAACAAAGAUGCUCAUCUAAUUUAAGGCAAUGAUUUCUAAUUUUAUGCUGUGAAUUUAUUAAUUUUUUUUUAUUUUCAUCAACUGAAAAUAAAAGGGGUAUAAAAAGAAGAGGAAGAAUGCAUCUUUUUAUGAUUCACUUUAAAAAAAUCCAAUGGUGUUAAUUGUUAAAAUCAUAUAAAAAUGCACUAAAACUUGUAUUGUUUAACCGAUUUCCCCACUGUUUGAAAAUUGUGCCAUACUCUAAUGCAUUGCACACAAAUUAUUAUCAUUAAAAAAAAAAAAAUGUUGUGCAUAAUUAUUGGAGGGUUUUUUUCUACGAUAAAAUAUUAUUUCAGUCUUUCCACUACUUCAAAAUUUCACAUUUUAUUCAAUUA